GACGAACGCUGGCGGCGUGCUUAACACAUGCAAGUCGAACGAAGAGCGAUGGUAGCCUGCUUCUAUCAAUCUUAGUGGCGAACGGGUGAGUAACGCGUAAUCAACCUGCCCUUCAGAGGGGGACAACAGUUGGAAACGACUGCUAAUACCGCAUACGAUCCAAUAACGGCAUAGGGACAGGUUGAAAGGUGGCCUCUAUUAAUAAGCUAUCACUGAAGGAGGGGACUGCGUCGGAUUAGCUAGUUGGAGGGGUUGCGGCACACCAAGGCGAUGAUCAGUAGCCGGUCCGAGAGGAUGAACGGCCGCAUUCGGACUGAGACACUGCCCAGACUCCUUCGGGCUGCGGCAGUGGCGAGUCUUCCGCGAUGGGCGGAAGUCUGACGGAGCAACGCCGCGUGAGUGAUGACGGCCUUCGGGUUGUCAAGCUCUGUUAAUCGUUACGAAUGGUUCUUGUGCUAGUAUUGCGAGGAUUUGACGGUACCGUAAUAGAAAGCCACGGCUAACUACGUG
rnacentral:rRNA from 1 species